rnacentral:rRNA from 1 species
UACGGGGGGGCAAGCGUUGUUCGGAAUUACUGGGCGUAAAGGGCUCGUAGGCGGCCAACUAAGUCAGACGUGAAAUCCCUCGGCUCAACCGGGAACUGCGUCUGAUACUGGAUGGCUUGAAUCCGGGAGAGGGAUGCGGAAUUCCAGGUGUAGCGGUGAAAUGCGUAGAUAUCUGGAGGAACACCGGUGGCGAAGGCGGCGUUCUGGACUGUAUCUGACACUGAGGAACGAAGCCAGGGAGACAAACGGGAGUUA